UCUAGAUCCAGGGGGUUCUUGCUAAAUAAUGCUAAAAACAUUUACCUUUGUUGGGCUUCUUUUUACUAAUGAAAUACAUGUAUUCUUGAUAUCUUGAAAAGACCUAAAAGAUAAAUAGCUCAUGAAAAAGUUAAGGAUUUUCAGCUGUAUCUAGUGCUUUGUCUAGUAUUUUCUUUAAAAAGUCUCUGUAGUCUGUAUUAGAAAUACAUGUAAUAGCAAAUAAAACUAUCUAGGAAAUCAAAGUAGAUAUGUAUAUUGGUGGAUUUUAGGUGGACAUCUAAAUCUAUAAAUGCAGCAAUCAGGAAUUUGAGAUGUUUAUAUUGUACUUGUGAACGAAAUUUUCAUGGUGCCUUUAUGGUUUGAGCAGGAGGAUGUGUGCAUCAUAAAUGUGAUAUGAACAAGUGGUGAAACUACUGUGAAUUCUGGACAGCAAUCAUUGAUGAUCAAAUCCACGAUAGGGUGCUUCACGUUAUCCUUUAUACACUUAUAUUUUUCUUGUGACACUGAGUUAUAUGCAUGUAUAUUAUUACUGGAAAGUUUAAAGAUAUACAGGUACCAUUUUCUUUAUCCAGUCAUAUUUGUCUCUCGGGUCAUUUUUAAAAAAUAUAUAGAUGUAUAUAAAUGUAUAAAAGUUUCAUUGAUAUUAUGUGAAAUAUUGAAAGCAUAUUCAUUGCAAACUGUUAAAAGGAACUAGUAUUUAUUUAUUAUGUUUUUGAUCAAUUAAAUAGAAAACAGAAGCCAGUACUAAGGAAAUAUUAC
rnacentral:misc_RNA from 1 species